rnacentral:rRNA from 1 species
GAUUUCUGGUGUGAACAACCUGACCCAGCAUGCUUACAUGUUUGUGUGUCGGUGUUGAUCUGCCAUCACUUCUAGGGAACAUUCAUACUCUUCAUUGAGCUGUGAAUGAUUGUCUAGAUCUUUUACUUUGAAAAAAUUAGAGUGUUUCAAGCAGGCUUUUUGCUAUGAAUACAUUAGCAUGGAAUAAUAAUUUAGGACUUUGGUCUUAUUUUGUUGGUUUCUAGGACUAAAGUAAUGAUUGAUAGGGAUAGUUGGGGGUGCUAGUAUUCAGCGGCCAGAGGUGAAAUUCUUGGAUUCGCUGAAGACUAACUUAUGCGAAAGCAUU